CCUGUCCAGUUGCUGAAUGAUUAUCUGUGCACUUUCUGUGGAAAUAGUAAUGACACUCUUGGUUCAUUUGGGAAAAGUUGUGAAUCAGAAUGUAGUGCCUUUAUUUCGUACUAGACACUACCACUGUAUGAAGUGCCAGAUUCAUUAAGGAAAAUAUGGUAGUGUUUGGAAGUUGUAAGCAAUGAUAAUGUAUAUAUAUGACAAGUUAAUAUAUAGGGGAAAUGGUCUUGUUUAAUACAGGGAUGGUGCCUGUGAUGGGAGGUUAAUUUGCCUUGUGGUCAGUAUUGAUUAGUGGCAGCAUUACUUCAUGUACCAUCAUCAUUUUGUUUUCCACCAAAGAAAUGAAAUCCACUUGCCAGAUACCUGACUGCAAGCUAGUCUUUUGGGCAGAAAUCUGCCAGAGGGAGGUUUACCCCAAAAGGCUAAAGAGUUGUUUUGUUACUGUACCCCUACU
rnacentral:lncRNA from 1 species